AAUAUUGGGACAUAUAAAAAAAAGACAACUCUGUUCCGUAGAGUAGCUGUUGACAUUAUAGUUGGGCAGGCACUUUGUUGACUCUAGAGAACCUCAGGCCAAUCGCACAUCCCCGUGGCGGCGACUUUGCAUGCGGAUGUCAUCCAUAUCAACUUUCGAUGCCAGUUUCUGCGCCUACCAUGGUGACCACGGGUAACGGGGAAUCAGGGUUCCAUUCUGUACAGGGACCCUGAGAAACGGCUACCACAUGCAAGGAAGGCAGCAGGCGCGCAAAUGCCCCACUCCCGACGCAGGAAGGUAGUGA